GAUGAACGCUAGCGGCAGGCCUAACACAUGCAAGUCGAACGGACCCUUCGGGGUUAGUGGCGGACGGGUGAGUAACACGUGGGAACGUGCCUUUAGGUUCGGAAUAGCUCCUGGAAACGGGUGGUAAUGCCGAAUGUGCCCUUCGGGGGAAAGAUUUAUCGCCUUUAGAGCGGCCCGCGUCUGAUUAGCUAGUUGGUGAGGUAAUGGCUCACCAAGGCGACGAUCAGUAGCUGGUCUGAGAGGAUGACCAGCCACAUUGGGACUGAGACACGGCCCAAACUCCUACGGGAGGCAGCAGUGGGGAAUCUUGCGCAAUGGGCGAAAGCCUGACGCAGCCAUGCCGCGUGGAUGAUGAAGGUCUUAGGAUUGUAAAAUUCUUUUACCAGGGACGAUAAUGACGGUACCUGGAGAAAAAGCCCCGGCUAACUUCGUGCCAGCCGCCGCGGUAACAC
rnacentral:rRNA from 1 species